AUUGAUGAGUAGAAGUUGCAGGAGAGUGUGCAGAAAUCCCCCAGGGGUGUGACAGCGCUGCCCCCAGCUCGUCCUGCGAAGCGGCAGUGCUGCGUGGGGAGGGAAGCGAGCACUUCUGUGGGGUCCCACGAAGGUCCUCACCCUGCCCUGAUCCUUCAGAGCUGAAGGAUCUUGGGUCCAGACAAGUGAAAGUUUUUCAUUGGAUUCAAUCCUGUGAUCCACAUGACUCCUGAAUGCUUCUCACCCUGCCUUUCACCCCACUGGGGGUUCAGCACUACCACCAAGGAUGUGCCAACGAGGAUACUGUUGGCUGUCCUGCCAGAAACCACAUUAAUUCCUGCUAACAUAGCUUUAUGUUGUAUGUUCCAGGUGGCCAACCCACCAGAGGAAAUAGUUUUGUUUAACGAAGGUGGAGAGGCUUUGCCCUUGUGUAAUAUCAGAUACAGAGAAAAAAACAUGUGUUGAAUGUUAUCUAUGUAUGAAAAAAGGGGGUAUAGAAGGGGGAAAUAAAAUGGAAGAGGGGGGUGUAGAGAAAAGAUUAACUGACAAUCAUAGUCUGAGAAAGAGCUUGUUUGCUGAAUGUGUGUCUGAAAAUACUUGGAAAGUGGCCUGGGGCCCCAAGCUUGUGACAACAGCUGGAAUAUUCCCAGAUUUGUAUCAAUAGCUGAUUAAAUGAGAAGGGGAACUGUU